GGAGUGUUAGUCCAACAAAGACACCUGAUUUCGGCUCAGUAGAUUAUAGUUUAAACCUAUAGCACCCUU
rnacentral:tRNA from 1 species